GAUGAACGCUAGCGGGAGGCCUAACACAUGCAAGCCGAGCGAACGGCGCACGGGUGCGGUACACGUGUGCAACCUGCCUUUAUCAAGGGGAUAGCCUUUCGAAAGGAAGAUUAAUACCCUAUAGAUAAAGAUGGGCACGCGCAAGAUUAGCUAGUUGGUGAGGUAACGGCUCACCAAGGCGACGAUCUUUAGGGGGCCUGAGAGGGUGCUCCCCCCCACUGGUACUGGGACACGGACCAGACUCGUACGGGAGGCAGCAGAAAGGAAUAUUGUACAAUGGGUGCAAGCCUGAUCCAGCCAGCGCGCGUGUAGGAAGACGGCCUAUGGGUUGUAAACUACUUUUAUCAGGGGAGAGGUACCAGAUGAAUGAGCACCGGCUAACUCCGUGCCAGCAGCCGCGGUAAUAC
rnacentral:rRNA from 1 species